UUUAAGGGAGUUAUAAUCUGUAAUUAAAAGACUUAACGGCUUUCGCUCGCUAUCAAAUAUAUUUACAAACAUUUUUAAAACAACAAUUUUUGGAUACAAAAUUAAGUCCAAUACGGGCUUAUGUAACUCCUCCAAAAUACGAAAGGCAAUGCUCAAAAUAAAACCAUUCUUCCAUUACCUCGGUCAUUAAUCAAAAUCACAUGUGUCCAUACAACAGAUCUUUAUUGAAUUUCAUUUUGAAGAAAUUUGAUAAAAUUAAAACUUCACCAAGUGCCAGUGGAGCUCGCGAUAUCUCAGCCUCACUCACUCCCGAUGUGAUGGACGCUGUAGUGGCUUGAAAUGGGCCUCAGUCCAAUACGCGAGCGCGUUCACCGCAACAGUCGCUUAGCUGCUCAGACCUUCUAACUCUUUGGGCUCCGUAAGAUCAACGUGGGAGGUGCCUCCUUGGCCCUUACUGGGCCCCUGACAUUUGGUUCUCCUUUCAAGAAUUUGGUGUCAUGAAAUUCCCUUCUUAAAUUUGAUUGUCGUCUACGAGGUAUUUUCGAAAUUUUAAGCGUUGAUGAUGACUUCUCGGUUAACAAU